rnacentral:rRNA from 1 species
UGGUGGCGACCGGCGCACGGGUGAGUAACGCGUAUGCAACCUACCUAUCAGAGGGGAAUAACCCGGCGAAAGUCGGACUAAUACCGCAUAAAACAGGGACACCGCAUGGUGAUAUUUGUUAAAGAAAUUCGCUGAUAGAUGGGCAUGCGUUCCAUUAGGUAGUUGGUGAGGUAACGGCUCACCAAGCCGACGAUGGAUAGGGGAACUGAGAGGUUGGUCCCCCACACUGGUACUGAGACACGGACCAGACUCCUACGGGAGGCAGCAGUGAGGAAUAUUGGUCAAUGGGCGAGAGCCUGAACCAGCCAAGUCGCGUGAAGGAAGAAGGAUCUAUGGUUCGUAAACUUCUUUUGCAGGGGAAUAAAGUGCAGGACGUGUCCUGUUUUGUAUGUACCCUGAGAAUAAGGAUCGGCUAACUCCGUGCCAGCAGCCGCGGUAAUACGGAGGAUCCGAGCGUUAUCCGGAUUUAUUGGGUUUAAAGGGUGCGUAGGUGGUUUGAUAAGUCAGCGGUGAAAGUUUGCAGCUUAACUGUAAAAAUGCCGUUGAAACUGUCGGACUUGAGUGUAAAUGAGGUAGGCGGAAUGCGUGGUGUAGCGGUGAAAUGCUUAGAUAUCACGAAGAACUCCGAUUG